CUCUUAUCUAACUGUAAUUUCGUUGCCAUUAACCAACCUCUCUCUAAGCCUCCUACCUGCUUCCCUUCCCAGCCUCUGGUAACCACUAUUCUACUCUCUACUUCUAUGAUAUCAACUUUUUAAUACACAAUGGAAUAUUAUUCAGUCAUAAAAGAAGAAAAUCCUGUCAUUUGCAGCCGCAUGGAUGAACCUGGAGAUUUUGUUAAGUGAAGUCAAGCCGUGGUCAGAUUCUGUCCAUCAAAGGAGGGGUGAGGACAGGGGACAUGUUGGCAGUCUGAAACCCUGGCAUUUCCCGACGUCAUUCUUCACGCUACAAAGGUCGGUUCCUCCUGCUUCCUUGGCUUUCCCAGAGUGCUUACUUCUUCUAACCAGUGAAAACUGAAUCUCACAAGUAACCCCUCAAAUUUGGUAUCUUGAUUGGUGAGGUUCAUUCCUGGGGCAGUUAUUGAGGCACCUGCUGAGGCCCCAUUCCUGCCCAAGCAUUUUUUUUUGUGCAAGAUAAUAGUUGAAUU
rnacentral:lncRNA from 13 species